GCCUGGGUGGCUUAGCCGGUUAAGCAUCUGACUCUUGAUUUCAGCUCAGGUCAUGAUUUCACUGUUUGUGAGUUCAAGCCCACUUCAGGCU
rnacentral:tRNA from 1 species